CACCUCCAUUCACUUCUGGAAGGGCUGGGAGUUGACGAGGCCCAGCCUGGCAACUCUCAGAUGCUCUUCAAAAAGCAAGACCACAAACCUGAGGUGUCUUAAUGGAAGCCAGUGGCUCUAGGCUGAGCAGCCUGAGCUCAGCGUUCCCGGAGGUCAGGCAGGUCCUGGAAUGUGAAGACCACUCCUUUCUGUCAUCCAGUGGCCUAUUUACCCAACUCUCACACUCCAUCACUUUUGUUCUCCUCUCAUUCUCCGUAAUGAGCAACAGCAAAGUAGGGCAGAAAGAGAUGCCCUGGCUUCCUUAUUACGUUCGUGCUGUGGCCCAGGGCAUAUUUUGGUCCCGUCUCUGCUUCCUCCACUAGACUGCCCCCGCUCCUUGAAAGAAAUGAUUACAUCCAAUCCAACUCAGUUUCCUCAGAGUCAAAACACAGGACCAUGAUAUGAGGUGAUCAAUAAAGAUGUGCUGAAAGAAUGAA